rnacentral:rRNA from 1 species
AUUGAACGCUGGCGGCAUGCCUUACACAUGCAAGUCGAACGGCAGCACGGGAGCAAUCCUGGUGGCGAGUGGCGAACGGGUGAGUAACAUAUCGGAACGUGCCCAAUAGUGGGGGAUAGCCCGGCGAAAGCCGGAUUAAUACCGCAUACGACCUGAGGGUGAAAGCGGGGAUCGCAAGACCUCGCGCUAUUGGAGCGGCCGAUAUCAGGAUUAGGUAGUUGGUGGGGUAAAGGCCUACCAAGCCUACGAUCUGUAGCUGGUCUGAGAGGACGACCAGCCACACUGGGACUGAGACACGGCCCAGACACCUACGGGUGGCAG